rnacentral:rRNA from 1 species
AGCGAACGUUUGCGGCGGGCUUAACACAUGCAAGUCGAACGGGCUGUUCCUUCGGGGGCAGUCAGUGGCGCACGGGUGCGUAACACGUAGGUAAUCAACCCUCUGGUUGGGGAUAACACUUCGAAAGGAGUGCUAAUACCCGGUAUGGCGCAGCGGUCUUCGGAUCGCGGCGAGAAAGACCCGCAAGGGUUGCCAGAGGACGAGCCUGCGGCCCAUCAGCUAGUUGGCGAGGUAACGGCUCACCAAGGCGAAGACGGGUAGCUGGUCUGAGAGGAUGAUCAGCCACACUGGAACUGAGACACGGUCCAGACUCCUACGGGAGGCAGCAGUGGGGGAAUAUUGCGCAAUGGGCGAAAGACCUGACGCAGCCACGCCGCGUGAGCGAUGAAGGACCGUCGUCGGUAGUAC